AACGAACGCUGGCGGCAGGCUUAACACAUGCAAGUCGAGCGCCCCGCAAGGGGAGCGGCAGACGGGUGAGUAACGCGUGGGAAUCUACCCAUCUCUACGGAAUAACGCAUGGAAACGUGUGCUAAUACCGUAUACGUCCUUCGGGAGAAAGAUUUAUCGGAGAUGGAUGAGCCCGCGUUGGAUUAGCUAGUUGGUGGGGUAAAGGCCUACCAAGGGGACGAUCCAUAGCUGGUCUGAGAGGAUGAUCAGCCACACUGGGACUGAGACACGGCCCAGACUCAUACGGGAGGCAGCAGUGGGGAAUAUUGGACAAUGGGCGCAAGCCUGAUCCAGCCAUGCCGCGUGAGUGAUGAAGGCCCUAGGGUUGUAAAGCUCUUUCACCGGUGAAGAUAAUGACGGUAACCGGAGAAGAAGCCCCGGCUAACUUCGUGCCAGCAGCCGCAGUAACAC
rnacentral:rRNA from 1 species